rnacentral:rRNA from 1 species
UGAGUACGAGAUGCUACGGCAUCGAAGCAGUCUAUGUCAUACUUCCAAGAAAAGCUUGCAAUGUCAUAAACAAAUAAUGCCUGUACCAUAACCGACACAGGUGGGUAGGUAGAGUAUACUAAGGGGCGCGAGAUAACUCUCUCUAAGGAACUCGGCAAAAUGACUCCGUAACUUCGUGAGAAGGAGUGCCUUAUUUUUAUAAGGUUGCGAUAACAAGAUCCAAGCAACUGUUUACCAAAAACACAGGUCUCCGCUAAGUCGUAAGACGAUGUAUGGGGGCUGACGCCUGCCCAGUGCCAGAAGGUUAAAGAAGUUGGUUAGCAUUAGCGAAGCUGAUAACUGAAGCCCUGGUGAACGGCGGCCGUAACGAUAACGGUCCUAAGGUAGCGAAAUUCCUUGUCGGGUAAGUUCCGACCCGCACGAAAGGCGUAAUGAUUUGGAUACUGUCUCGGAGAGGGGCUCGGUGAAAUAGACUUGUCUGUGAAGAUGCGGACUACCUGCACCUGGACAGAAAGACCCUAUGAAGCUUUACUGUAACUUGAGAUUGAAAUUGGACUUUAUCUGCGCAGUAUAGGUGGGAGACGUUGAAAAUAUUCUUGCGGGAAUAUUGGAGUCAUCAGUGAGAUACCACUCUUAUAAUGUUAGAUUUCUAACUUUGUAUCAUUAUCUGGUCAAAGAACAGUUUCAGGCGGGCAGUUUGACUGGGGCGGUCGCCUCCCAAACGGUAACGGAGGCGCACAAAGGUUUCCUCUGAACGUGUAGAAAUCGUAUCUAGAGUGUAAAGGCAUAAGGAAGCUUGACUGUGAGACCUACAAGUCGAGCAGGGACGAAAGUCGGUCUUAGUGAUCUGACGGUGCUGAGUGGAAAGGCCGUCACUCAACGGAUAAAAGUUACUCUAAGGAUAACAGGCUGAUCUCCCCCAAGAGUUCACAUCGACGGGGAGGUUUGGCACCUCGAUGUCGGCUCAUCGCAUCCUGGGGCGGUAGUACGUCCCAAGGGUUGGGCUGUUCGCCCAUGAAAGCGGUACGCGAGCUGGGUUCAGAACGUCGUGAGACAGUUCGGUCCAUAUCCGGUGUAGGCGUUAGAAUAUUGAGAGGAGCCUUCUUUAGUACGAGAGGACCGAGAAGGACAUACCUCUGGUGUACCAGUUAUCGUGCCAACGGUAAACGCUGGGUAGCCAUGUAUGGAGAGGAUAACCGCUGAAAGCAUCUAAGUGGGAAGCCCACCUCAAGAUAAG